rnacentral:tRNA from 1 species
AAUAGAAGCUUCUAUUUUGGGGGAAUACAUGCGGGGAACGCACAAWUCUUUGUGGAAGAUCUCUCUUAUUUUAGAAAUU